UGAGAAGUGAGUUUUUGCUAUGCUAG
rnacentral:misc_RNA from 1 species